rnacentral:rRNA from 1 species
CAGUAGCCACGGUAAUACGUAGGGUGCAAGCGUUAAUCGGAAUUACUGGGCGUAAAGCGUGCGCAGGCGGUUAUAUAAGACAGAUGUGAAAUCCCCGGGCUCAACCUGGGAACUGCAUUUGUGACUGUAUAGCUAGAGUACGGCAGAGGGGGAUGGAAUUCCGCGUGUAGCAGUGAAAUGCGUAGAGAUGUGGAGGAAUACCGAUGGCGAAGGCAGCCCCCUGGGCCAAUACUGACGCUCAUGCACGAAAGCGUGGGGAGCAAACAGGAUUAGAUACCCCUGUAGUCCCUGUCUCUUAUAA